CCACACACACAGACACACACAUACACACACCACACAGACACACAUACAUAUACACACACACACUCACACACAGACACACACACAGACACACAUACAUAUAUACACACACAUACUCACACACAGACACACACACAGACACACACACACAGACACACAUACAUACACACACAGAGACACACACACUCACAGACACACAUACAUAUACACACACACACACAGACACACACACACACAGACACACAGACACACACACACACACACACACACACACACACACACACAGACACACAUACAUAUAUACACACACAU
rnacentral:lncRNA from 1 species